UACGAAGGGGGCUAGCGUUGCUCGGAAUCACUGGGCGUAAAGGGUGCGUAGGCGGGUUUUUAGGUCGGGGGGGAAAUCCUGGAGCUCAACUCCAGAACUGCCUUUGAUACUGAAGAUCUUGAGUCCGGGAGAGGUGAGUGGAACUGCGAGUGUAGAGGUGAAAUUCGUAGAUAUUCGCAAGAACACCAGUGGCGAAGGCGGCUCACUGGCCCGGUACUGACGCUGAGGCACGAAAGCGUGGGGAGCAAACAGG
rnacentral:rRNA from 1 species